rnacentral:pre_miRNA from 1 species
ACGCCAUGCCGCAUCGGCUAGCGAAGAGGCCGGGGACGCUGGCUUCGAUAACCCGGACCUCCCCGCCGGUGGAUCCGGCAACCAGA